rnacentral:rRNA from 1 species
UGAGCUUGAUCCUGGCUCAGGAUGAACGCUAGCGGCAGGCUUAACACAUGCAAGUCGAGGGGUAGAAGUCUUCGGACUUUGAGACCGGCGCACGGGUGCGUAACGCGUAUGCAAUCUACCUUUUACAGAGGGAUAGCCCAGAGAAAUUUGGAUUAAUACCUCAUAGUAUAAUGACUCGGCAUCGAGAUAUUAUUAAAGUCACAACGGUAAAAGAUGAGCAUGCGUCCCAUUAGCUAGCUGGUAAGGUAACGGCUUACCAAGGCUACGAUGGGUAGGGGUCCUGAGAGGGAGAUCCCCCACACUGGUACUGAGACACGGACCAGACUCCUACGGGAGGCAGCAGUGAGGAAUAUUGGACAAUGGGCGCAAGCCUGAUCCAGCCAUGCCGCGUGCAGGAUGACGGUCCUAUGGAUUGUAAACUGCUUUUAUAUCGAGAAGAAACACU